UGGAGCAUGUGGUUCAAUUCGACAGUAAACGAAAAACCUUACCAGGGUUUGACACUAUACCAAAAACCUUAAGAAACUAAGGUGUGUUCACAAGACGGGUAUAGCAGGUGCUGCAUGGUUGUCGUCAGCUCGUGCCUUGAGGUGUUCCGUUAAGUCGGGAAACGAGCGCAACCCCUAUUGCCAGUUACAAGUGUCUGGCGAGACUGCCUGCGUUAGUAGGAGGAAGGAGGGGAUGACGUCAAAUCAGCAUGGUCCUUUGAUACCCUGGGCUACACACGUGCUACAAUGGAAAGUACAAUGGGUCGCCAACCCGCAAGGGGGAGCUAAUCCCAUCAAAACUUUCCCCAGUUCAGAUCGAGGGCUGCAACUCGCCCUCGUGAAGUAGGAAUCGCUAGUAAUCGUGGAUCAGCAUGCCACGGUGAAUACGUUCUCGAGUCUUGUACUCAAAAUUAAAUGCGCUUGGCAGCGCAAAAGACUAAGUGGUUAAAAUCCACU
rnacentral:ncRNA from 1 species